UAGGGAAUCUUCGGCAAUGGGGGCAACCCUGACCGAGCAACGCCGCGUGAGUGAAGAAGGUUUUCGGAUCGUAAAGCUCUGUUGUAAGUCAAGAACGAGUGUGAGAGUGGAAAGUUCACACUGUGACGGUAGCUUACCAGAAAGGGACGGCUAACUACGUGCCAGCAGCCGCGGUAAUACGUAGGUCCCGAGCGUUGUCCGGAUUUAUUGGGCGUAAAGCGAGCGCAGGCGGUUUGAUAAGUCUGAAGUUAAAGGCUGUGGCUCAACCAUAGUUCGCUUUGGAAACUGUCAAACUUGAGUGCAGAAGGGGAGAGUGGAAUUCCAUGUGUAGCGGUGAAAUGCGUAGAUAUAUGGAGGAACACCAGUGGCGAAGGCGGCUUUUUGGCCUGUAACUGACACUGAGGCGCGAAAGCGUGGGGAGCAAACAGGAUUAGAUACCCUGGUAGUCCACGCCGUAAACGAUGAGUGCUAAGUGUUGGUCUCAUAAGAGAUCAGUGCUGCAGCUAACGCAUUAAGCACUCCGCCUGGGGAGUACGACCGCAAGGUUG
rnacentral:rRNA from 1 species